rnacentral:rRNA from 1 species
GACGAACGCUGGCGGCGUGCCUAAUACAUGCAAGUCGAACGCAGUGGGGACGGGUGAGUAACACGUGGGUAACCUCCCAUCAGAGGGGAUAACACUUGGAAACAGGUGCUAAACCGAUACUGAUGGAUGAACCCGCGGUGCAGUAACUAGUUGGUGAGGUAACGGCUCACCAAGGCCACGAUGCAUAGCCGACCUGAGAGGGUGACCGGCCACACUGGAACUGAGACACGGCCCAGACUCCUACGGGAGGCAGCAGUAGGGAAUCUUGGGCAAUGGACGAAAGUCUGACCGAGACACGCCGCGUGAGUGAAGAAGGUUUUCGGGUCGUAAAACUCUUUUGUUAGAGAAGCGGUAUCUAACCAGAAAGCCACGGCUAACUACGUGCCAGCAGCCGCGGUAAUUC